ACGGAGGGUGCAAGCGUUGUUCGGAAUUACUGGGCGUAAAGGGCGCGUAGGCGGUUUGAUAAGUCAGAUGUGAAAGCCCACGGCUUAACUGUGGAAGUGCAUUUGAAACUGUCAGACUUGAGUACCAGAGGGGAAAGUGGAAUUCCCGGUGUAGAGGUGGAAUGCUUAGAUAUCGGGAGGAAUACCGAUGGCGAAGGCAACUUUCUGGCUGGAUACUGACGCUGGGGCGCGAAAGCGUGGGGAGGGAACAG
rnacentral:rRNA from 1 species